rnacentral:rRNA from 1 species
GAGUUUGAUCGUGGCUCACAGCGAACGUUAGCGGCACGCCUAACACAUGCAAGUCGCACGAGAAAGGGAGCAAUCCUGAGUAGAGUGGCGCACGGGUGCGUAACACGUAGAUAACCUGCCCUUUGGAGGGGGAUAACGUUCCGAAAGGAGCGCUAAUACCGCAUACAGCAAGAGCCGGUUUGCCGGUUUUUGGCAAAGGUAGGGACCCGCAAGGGCCUACCGCCAGAGGAGGGGUCUGCGGCCCAUCAGCUAGUUGGUGAGGUAAUGGCUCACCAAGGCAGAGACGGGUAGCUGGUCUGAGAGGAUGAUCAGCCACACUGGUACUGGAACACGGACCAGACUCCUACGGGAGGCAGCAGUGGGGGAAUCUUGGUCAAUGGGCGCAAGCCUGAACCAGCGAUGCCGCGUGAGUGAUGAAGGCCUCGGUUGUAAG